rnacentral:lncRNA from 1 species
UUUUUACUAAGGUUAUGCAAAUUCAUCUCCCUUAAUUCAUUGAUUUCAAUUGCGUUUUAUACACUGCUUUGUUGGAACAGAUUUCUAACAAAUCACUAACAAACUGACAAAGGCUCUAACAACCUCUAAAUGGUUAUAACUAACUUAUUCCGAGUUCUAUGGCAAUGCAUUCUUGGCUGAAGCUUACAGUAAUUCACACAUGGGCCUCAAGUACUGCAUCUGUCUCCUCUUGUGUGUUGCUAUCAUCUUCACAUAUGGAUGUCUGUGUAAUUAGUAUAUCAUAACAAAAUAUUAUUUAAUAUAAGAAAAUCUUUAAUACACAGAAAUCAAGUAGCACAAAAGAUUAUCUAAAAAAACUAUUGGUGGCAAAAUGGGAUUAAGUUAAACAAGAGUACGGUUUAGUUAUUAAAAAUCUGAAACCCCAAAAUUUAUAACAUGUAUUAUAAAUUUUUGUUAAUUGAAAAUUGUAAUUAAUUAUUUCUAUUUACAUUUCUUACCAAUAGUUAAAAAAUAAGUAAAAUCAAUUGCAAUGUUCAUACAACUUUUGUGCAAAGUAACCUUAUAAUCAAAUAGUAAGAUGAUUGAUAUCACAAAUAAAUAAAUAAAAAUAUUUUAUUUUUCCUAUUUAUUGUUUAUUGGCCAGCUGUCCUUAGGACAAGAACUAUAACAUAAGCCAAUGAAAAUUUAGGAUUAUGAUAUAUGAACCGCAAAAAUAAUAAUUUUCUUCUAAUAAACGAGUCACAUCAAAAUUAGAGAGAUCUUAUACCAACAAAAUAUAGAUACUUUUUCGUAAUUUACUACUUAAGGAUGUCAUAAUCAACGUACUUGAAAUAGUUAUGGAAUGAGUGACAUCUUGGGAAAAAAAAUUAUGAAAAUAAUUAAUGAUCUUAGAGAGAGAGCUCAUUCAAACAUGUUAGAGCAUUCAAACAUGUUAGAGUUAGUUGUCGAAAUUUUGGAAAGAAGAGAGAAUCUUAACCACCAAUAAAAAUGUUGAGUAAAAUGUUAUGGUAUGGAAGUUACUUAGAAGUUCUUGUGUAUAUAAUUAAGCUUGUCUUUCUUUUAUGACUUUGGGAAAAUAAUGAUAAAAUGAAUAAGAAGAAAAUUAAGAUAUACUAGUAAAUAAAAGAUAUUAAGAUAUUCUAACAGUUUUUCUUGCAAUUCAUGCUGAAAUAUUGGAAAAAUUAAUAAUCAUUGGAGUAUGAAAAAUAAAGUUUCCCUUGAGACAUAUACAGUAAUCAAACCAACCUACCUGUGUACGCCGUUCGUCAACAUAUGUCUUUACUUUGUGAAGUAAAGCUUCUUUCAUCCUGUUACAAAAGAUGGCGUGAAAGUUAUCAAAGUAACAUGGAUCAUAAAAGUAUACUCAACUUAAGAAGAAAAUCAUGAACGAUUCGGAUCGGGUAGAUGAACCAGAACUCCCCUUCUUCCCGUCACUUUCGGAUCUCGAAUUUGUUUUUUUCUUUGUUGUUGUGCUUGCGAGGAGAGAAGUAGAGAAAGAUGAGAGAUGCUGAGGAUAACAGAGACUGCAUUUUUCUUUUGGAGUGAGAUUGUGUUAAGAACUCAGAGUAUUGAUUGAAAUACUGAAGUGCAACGCACAUCCUUUUAUGAUUAAUAUAUUGUGCCAAGUCAAAUAGAUUUGAUCUUGGUCCAUAUAUCUCGUAUUGGAGGAUUGUCGGGCAAAUAACUUGUCUUAAGCACAUAGAAGUUCAAUUAUCGGAUCUAGAUGUAAAAAAAUAUCUCUAACUAGUAAAUAACAUGUUUUUUGAUUAAAAAGCUUGAGAAGGUUAAAAAUAUAUAUUUUUAUCCAUAAAAAUCAAAACAUAAAAAGUUUAGAGUUUACAAGUCAAUAACUCCUAGUGAAGCUAAAAGAUAUCUGUUGUCCAUUACCAUUUAAAAAGACUAUAAAAAUGAUA